rnacentral:rRNA from 1 species
AGUCAAUAGAUACCCUGGUAGUCCUAGCCCUAAACGAUGAUUGCUUGCUGUGAUCGGUACCCAAAUCCGAUCGUGGCGAAGCUAACGCGAUAAGCAAUCCGCCUGGGGAGUACGGUCGCAAGGCUGAAACUCAAGGGGAAUUGACGGGGCCCGCACAAGCGGUGGAGCAUGUGGUUCAAUUCGACGCAACGCGAAGAACCUUACCUGGGCUCGAAAUGUAGUGGACCGAGGCAGAAAUGUCUCUUCCCCGCAAGGGGCUGCUAUAUAGGUGCUGCAUGGCUGUCGUCAGCUCGUGUCGUGAGAUGUUGGGUUAAGUCCCGCAACGAGCGCAACCCUUAUUGCCAGUUGCCAUCAUUUAGUUGGGCACUCUGGCGAAACUGCCCCGGAUAACGGGGAGAAGGUGGGAUGACGUCAAGUCCUCAUGGCCUUUAUGUCCAGGGCUACACACGUGCUACAAUGGUCGGUACAAACCGUCGCAAACCCGUGA